ACCUGGCUGGCUCAGUCCGUGGAGCAUAUGACUCUUGAUCUCAGGGUUGUGAGUUCAAGCCCCACGCUGGGUG
rnacentral:tRNA from 1 species